rnacentral:rRNA from 1 species
AUUGAACGCUCGCGGCAGCCCUAACACAUCUAAGUCGAGCGGCCGAUGGGAGCUAGCUCCUGGUUUCAGCGGCGUACGGGUGAGCAAUGCCUAAGAAUCUGCCUGGUAGUGGGGGAUAACGCCCGUCCACCGGCGCUACUACCGCAUACCACCUGACGGCGAACGGGGGGGACAUGCGACCAUCACGCUUUCAGAUGAGCCAAGGCCGGAUUCGCUAGUGGGUGGGGUUAAGGCCUACCAAGGAGACGAUCCGUAACUGGUGUGAGAGGAUGAUCAGUCACACUGGAAGUGAGACACGGUCCGGACUCCUACGGGAGGCAGCAGUCGGGAAUAUUGGACAAUGGGCGAAAGCCUGAUCCAGGCCUGCCGCGUGUGUCAAGAAGGUCUUCGGAUUGUAAAGCACUUUAAGUUGGGAGGAAGGGCAGUAAGUUAAUACCUUGCUGUUUUGACGUUACCAACAGAAUAAGCACCGGCUAACUUCGUG